GUUAAACGAGAAGACUUUAGAUAUGAUCCAGAGUACCACGGGACACGUGAAACCCUGUGGGAAGCAGGAGGGACCACCCUCCAAGGCUAAAUACUACCUAGUGACCGAUAGCGUAUAGUACCGUGAGGGAAAGGUGAAAAGAACCCCGGGAGGGGAGUGAAAUAGAACCUGAAACCCUGCACUUACAAGCUGUGGAAGCACAUUUCUUGUGUGACCGCGUACUUUUUGUAGAACGGGCCAACGAGUUACGUUAAGUAGCAAGGUUAAGCACUUAAGGUGCGGAGCCGUAGCGAAAGCGAGUUUUAACUGAGCGUUCAGUUACUUGACGUAGACCCGAAACCGGGCGACCUACCCAUGAGCAGGAUGAAGCGAAAGUAAAAUUUCGUGGAGGUCCGAACCCACGAGCGUUGAAAAGCUCGGGGAUGACUUGUGGGUAGCGGUGAAAUUCCAAUCGAGCCCGGAGAUAGCUGGUUCUCCCCGAAAUAGCUUUAGGGCUAGCCUCAAGGUGAGAGAUACGGAGGUAGAGCACUGAAUGUCCUAGGGGGUAUUGCACCUACCGAAGACUAUCAAACUCCGAAUGCCGUCAUCUUAUACUUGGGAGUCAGACUGUGGGUGAUAAGAUUCAUAGUCGAAAGGGCAACAGCCCAGAUCGUCAGCUAAGGUCCCUAAAUGUAAGUUAAGUGGUAAAGGAUGUGGGAUUGCACAGACAACCAGGAUGUUGGCUUAGAAGCAGCCACUCAUUCAAAGAGUGCGUAAUAGCUCACUGGUCGAGUGAUCCUGCGCCGAAGAUUUCCGGGGCUAAAACUUACUACCGAAGCUACGGCAUCAGUAAUGAUGGGUAGGGGAGCUUCCCAUACGGGUUGAAGCAUGACCGUAAGGACAUGUGGACAGUAUGGGAGUGAGAAUGUUGGCAUGAGUAGCGAGAUGUGGGUGAGAAUCCCACAGGCCGUAAACCCAAGGUUUCCAGGGGAAGGUUCGUCCGCCCUGGGUUAGUCGGGACCUAAGCUGAGGCCGAAAGGCGUAGGUGAUGGACAACAGGUUGAUAUUCCUGUACUACCGAUAACCGUUUGAGAGAAGGGAUGACACAGUAGGAUAAGCUAAGCACACUGUUGGUUAUGUGUGCCCAAGCAUUGAGGCAGUCAAAGUAGGCAAAUCCGCUUUGAUAAUGCUGGGAUGUGAUGGGGAGCGAAAUUUAGUAGCGAAGUAGCUGAUUUCACACUGUCAAGAAAAGUCUCUAUCGAGGUUAAAGGUACCCGUACCGCAAACCGACACAGGUGGGUGAGGAGAGUAUCCUAAGGCCAGCGAGAGAACUGUUGUUAAGGAACUCGGCAAAAUGACCCCGUAACUUAGGGAUAAGGGGUGCCACCAUUAGGUGGCCGCAGAGAAUAGGCCCAAGCGACUGUUUACCAAAAACAUAGGUUUCUGCUAAGUCGCAAGACGAUGUAUAGGAGCUGACGCCUGCCCGGUGCUGGAAGGUUAAGGGGAUCUGUUAGAG
rnacentral:rRNA from 1 species